GACGAACGCUGGCGGCGUGCCUAAUACAUGCAAGUCGAACGCAGUGGGGACGGGUGAGUAACACGUUGGUAACCUCCCAUUAGAGGGGAUAACACUUGGAAACAGGUGCUAAACCGAUACUGAUGGAUGGACCCGCAGUGCAUUGGCUAGUUGGUGAGGUAACGGGUCACCAAGGCCACGAUGCAUAGCCGACAGGGAAGGGUGAUAGGCGAAACUGGAACUGAACCACGGCCCAGAAUCCUACGGGAGGCAGCAGUAGGGAGUAUUAGGAAAUGGAGGAAAGUCUGCCCGGGCAACGGUGCGGGAGGGAAAAAGGUUUGGGGAUCGUAAGACUCGGUUGUUAGAGAAACGGUAAAUAACCAGAAAGCCACGGCUAACUACGUGCCAGCAGCCGCGGUAAUAC
rnacentral:rRNA from 1 species